UACGAAGGGGGCUAGCGCUGCUCGGAAUCACUGGGCGUAAAGGGUGCGUAGGCGGGUCUUUAAGGCAGGGGUGAAAUCCUGGAGCUCAACUCCAGAACUGCCUUUGAUACUGAGGAUCUUGAGUUCGGGAGAGGUGAGUGGAACUGCGAGUGUAGAGGUGAAAUUCGUAGAUAUUCGCAAGAACACCAGUGGCGAAGGCGGCUCACUGGCCCGAUACUGACGCUGAGGCACGAAAGCGUGGGGAGCAAACAGG
rnacentral:rRNA from 1 species